UACAGAGGGUGCGAGCGUUAAUCGGAUUUACUGGGCGUAAAGGGCGCGUAGGCGGUUGUGAAAGUGUGGUGUGAAAGCCCCGGGCUUAACCUGGGACGUGCAUUGCAUACUUCACAACUGGAGUAGAUGAGAGGGUGAUGGAAUUUCCGGUGUAGCGGUGAAAUGCGUAGAGAUCGGAAGGAACGUCAAUGGCGAAGGCAGUCACCUGGCAUCAUACUGACGCUGAGGCGCGAAAGCGUGGGUAGCGAACAGG
rnacentral:misc_RNA from 1 species